UACGGGGGAUGCAAGCGUUAUCCGGAAUCAUUGGGCGUAAAGCGCCUGUAGGUUGUUUAGUAAGUUUGUUGUUAAAGACUAGGGCUUAACCCUAGAAAAGCAAUGAAAACUGCUAGACUAGAGUAUGGCAGGGGUAGAGGGAAUUUCUAGUGUAGCGGUGAAAUGCGUAGAUAUUAGAAAGAACACCGGUGGCGAAAGCGCUUUACUGGACCAUUACUGACACUCAGAGGCGAAAGCUAGGGUAGCCAAAGGGAUUAGAUACCCCUGUAGUCCUAGCCGUAAACGAUGGAUACUAGAUGUUGCGCUUAUUGUGCAGUGUCGUAGCUAACGCGUUAAGUAUCCCGCCUGGGGAGUACGAUCGCAAGGUUG
rnacentral:rRNA from 1 species